rnacentral:lncRNA from 1 species
GUCAUUACUCUUUUUAAAAUUGUAAUUCUUGAAAAUAUUAUUUGAUCAUAGAAUUUCGGUGAGGUAACACAUUCAAAGAUAAUGUCUACGUUUGGUACAUGAAGAAACUGAAAUUUGGUGGCCUUGGGGGUAGAGAGCAACUUUUAUCGUUCGCGGAAUGUUUGUAUUAAUUGCUAUGUAGUAUAAUGCAAUGAAAUCUCCCUAUACAUGUGUCCUUAGAAAACAUGUCGGAAAAUGUACUCCAUAUAGAAAAAAUAUAUCUAUAAAAAAGUCAAUUUACCAGGCAAUCGUUUACUUUUACUAUUUAGUCGUGGGAGAGUUCUGUGUCGUGUUAAUAAUUUUGAUGGAGAUGAAUUGAAACAAUAAGUAAGAGAUAACCGAUGGUGUAAUCCGAUCCUCCUCGUUCGAAAGGUUUUACUAAAAAUAAUUAAAAGCUGGGAUCAUCUUGGUUUUGAUUUUCUCUUCAAGUCAACAAUUACCGUUUCGAAGACUAUCUGGACGUGUUAAUGAAAGCCAAGUAUGUUUUCUAUUCGAUGUGAAAUAAAACAAUUGAAAUAUGGAAUAGGCUCAAAAUUUAUAUACGUUUAUUUAUGUACUACUCAACGAAAGGCAUUAUCUAACUGAUAAAAAUGAUCCCAUACUAUUGAAUGUCUUUUUUUUUUUGUUUCUUACAUUCACCAUAUCGUGCUAAUCGUUAAUAGAGUUAUGAUUUAAAUUGUAAAAGUCUUAGAUUAAACCGAUCAAUUUUUGUAAUUAUUUCACAACGUAUUACGAGUAAAUGAAAUAAUCAUGCAUUUAUGUUCUUAACGAACAUUCUUAGAUAUUAUUGUUUUGGAACAUGUCUAUAUAAGAUUUUAUUUGUGCGUUACUUUUACUUUUAAGAAAAGAUAUUAAAUAUAUGUAUAUUAUUUAA